ensembl:lncRNA
ACUAACGACGAGAACGAAGUGGAAGUGGAAAUCGCUAAACAUGAGGAAAUAUUAGUGUCCGAUUCUGAAAAGGUGGUUUUAGAUAUUCCUUGUCUUACAUUUAAUGAUUCAAACGCUUGCCAAAGUGUGCUUGAUUCAGAGUGGCAUGACCAAUGCAUGGAAAAUCCAGAUGUAGCUGAACCUGUUCCUGAUUCAUCCAUCCUGAACACGGAAAGCGAUCCACCAAAUUGUACAACUCAAGACGUCUUUUGUCUGUUUAGUAACACAGAAACAUCAGCUACUGACCAGUUUUAUGCCAAUAAACAACUCAGCCCUGAAUCCAGUAGUUCACAACACAAACCGUCAUCCUCUGAAGGCUUGGCCAUGAGUAAACUUGAACUCCAGUAUUUUGACCCGUUUAGUCCCAUACCUGCUGAGCCAGUCGAAGGCAUAUCUGAUUUAGAAGUAAUGAACGCUGUUAACUCGUUCUGUCAUGAAGCUCCAAGACUAGAUUCUGGUUAUCAUGAAGUUGGUUCUCCAACUCCUUUUAGUCCAGAACCUGUUGACAAAACCAAAUGUAGCAUUGAUCUUCAAGGCCCAGGCUUGGAAGCCAGGAAGCAGAGCAACUCUGAAAUCCACGUCCCUGAUCCAUUUAGCCCCGAAUCCGUCGAUACAGGGAUAUUUGACUCGGAAACGGAAAACUGUGAGUCUGGUUACACGUUUACGACGUGUCAACUCUUAAGUCCUCAACCAGUUUACACAGCUUUAAAUAAUCUGGAGGAGAAGCAGAUAUCGUGUGACGCGCUAAGUGAUCAUCUCAGUGGAUCCGAACAUGAUGAUUGUUACCCCUUUGGUUCUUGUCCAUCUAAUGAAGAGAGCUAUGCUUAUAGUUGUGAAGAAAAACUCACUGGACCAAUCCGAGAAGUAUCUGAUGCUUCAGGAGAAUCCAAACCUUGCUCAACGGUGUCAAAUGCUAGUGAUUCCUCUCAAGUAUUUCACUGUGGUUCGGUGUGGGGAACCUCUGAAAUGAGCUUUCCCGACUCUGAAGUGCUUGACCCAAUGAAAAACAACAUUUUUGAUUUUAAUACAAUGGAUGUUGGCUCAUUUGUGUCCAUUGAAAGCCAAGAAGCCGAAGAGGCUCAACACGGUGCUGGAAAAGUGACGAAAAACGCCGAUCUGGUUGAAAUUGACUAUUUCUGUUCUGAG